GUCACAGUGGAUCCACGAUCUGUGCUGCCAUUGGAAACAUCAUAUGCUACGUGGCUUUUCUCUUCUGGAAGUUGGAUGAGGCUGUAAGACUUUAUUUUGUAGGAGGUACUCAGGAUGAGUUGUGUGGCCACAUCAUGCUUCACAUAGAAGACAGCUAACGAGAUACAGAAAUCCCCAAAUCUGAACCAUCUCUAAUCUGGCAAAGGAUCCCCGUCCAGCUGACACUGAAUGCCUGCAGAACGUUACAAACAGCAUCUUUAAGAAAGGGUAUUUAAAUUUCCUUCUUCCUGGGUGUCAGCCUCAUCAGAAGAAAAACGAAAUUUUCUUCUUGACAUCUAGUAUCUAGCUGAAGAAAUGAAGAAUAAUGUCAGCAUUGUGCAGCUUUCAACUCUAUUGGCUUCAAAGGGAUAUGUUCUGCUUUCAGGUGAGAAUGGCUCCAGCCUGUGACUUGCUCUGGGACAACAGUUGCCAAAGGCUUCCAGUGGAUCUGCGGAAGUGAAAAAGGCUGUUUUUCUCUUGGUGUAGCAAGUGAUGAGCACAUUUACGUCUUAAGGAGAAAGAGCAGAACCCCGCUGGUCCCCCACAGAAUUCUUUUCAAACUCAAUGAAGAACUCCUUCCAACCCUGGUGCAUUUUAUGUCCUGCCCUGGGAGAGUUCAUGGGUUGUCCAGAAUCACUCAUACGUAGCCUUUGAGGAAAACAGAUAGCAAGACAGUUCCAGUGCAUCUUGCAUCAGUGCUGUUUCCCUGGCCUCUCUAACAGCAAUGUUGACCUAAGCCUUAUGGGUGAGAUGCAAGCAAACUCGAGCUGCCAGGAUAGAAGCCACUUCAGAUGUCAUGCCAGUGGUUUCAUUUGCACAACUGCAAUACCAAAGAGUAUUGCUCCUCUUACAGGCAGCAAAUGAGAUGGGCCUCAAGUUCAAGCCAUGUGGCAAAUAUAAAUAAACUGAAAAAUGUUAUUUCUAUCUGUAUUCAUUAUAUAAUUUUGAACAAAGAAAUACUCUUUGUGCCUGACAUGCUGGCAGUGCUGGCAAUAAGCUGUGAUUACUGCAGUAAAUAGCACCAUCUAGGGAUCAGGAUGCUUUUUAAGUUGUCUUUCUGAACUGUGUGUGGUAAGAGUGGCUUCAGUGUCAGCUCUAAGAUGGGCACAUGUUGUGCCACACAUUUUUGUGUUUACACAUGUACAUAGAAACUGAAGGAAACAUUAUAUAUGUCCCCCUUGGCAGUGCAAAGCCUAAAUGAAUGUGUGAAUGAACUUCAUUUGUACUUAAAAACACAAAGCUUGUAGGUAUAUGCUACAAGGUAGGUAUGAUUCUCCUCCAGCUUCUGUUAGACUAGUUCAGCUUGUCUACUUAUGCCCAUGAAUACAUCAGAUUUAAGGAGAAACCUUGCACAUGCAGAUUAAAGUAACCAUGAGAACUUGCCAUAUUCACCCUGUAUGAAUUUAUAGACUAAACUGAGAAGGACUCAUAAACUGCAAGUAUUUUAUCCAUGAAGCAGCUGCCCCGCAGACCUACCUGGCUGUGAUGGAGCUAUUUGCACUGGUGGUAAGCAAGUCAUGAUCCUGUACUAAAUGAUGCUUCAAGAGACCUUUCUGCUGCUGAGUUCCAGGGUUUCCAAGGGCACAGUCAUUUAAAUAAAAGAAAGUUCUGCUUCAGUUUUUGGAGAUCAGCAGCUUGACUGUUCUCACUGCCUGCCAGCCGACUGGUUGCUUACUGUCUUUAGGUGAGUUAAUGUUCACCUGUUUGCUUAGAACAAGCUUGUCUCCAAGCCUUGUAUCAAAUCUUGUCUAACAAGCACUGUCUAAUUUGACAAAACAAAUACAGCCAAACUUUUUAUGAGUUCGAUUGCAGUGUUGCCUCCUGAGGUUACCAGCCUCUUUACUCAAGGGUAAAACAGUAAUUAGAGAAUUGCUGGGAAAAAAUAAAAAAUAAAAAAAAACCUUACCUUCCUUGGAUAUUCUUAUAAGUGUAAGGAACUCUGAGCACUGA